rnacentral:rRNA from 1 species
UGCCAGCCGCCGCGGUAACACGGGGGGCGCAAGCGUUAUUCGGAAUUACUGGGCGUAAAGCGCGCGUAGGCGGAUGUUUAAGUUUCAUGUGAAAUCCCGGGGCUCAACCCCGGAACUGCCUCUAAUACUGCUAGUCUAGAGUCCGAGAGAGGUUAGUGGAAUUCCCAGUGUAGAGGUGAAAUUCGUAGAUAUUGGGAAGAACACCAGUGGCGAAGGCGGCUAACUGGCUCGGUACUGACGCUGAGAUGCGAAAGCGUGGGGAGCAAACAGGAUUAGAUA